rnacentral:lncRNA from 1 species
CUCGGCGAUACAUCUUGUGAUGUUUUAGUAUUGCAAUAUCAAAUGGUAACAACACUGAUUUUUCUUCUCUCAGUUAUUCGGAGAAACCAGAAGAAGAGCAGGAUAAUCUGGAGGAUGAACAGGCACUUCUGGAGGCCAGAGAAAAGAUGUGGGACAUCACUAGCAAAAACCAAAUUGAAAGCAUUGAGAAGAAAAAAGAAGAGCUGAUGGCUUUGGAGGCACAUGCCAAGCUGGAGCAGUGUAAGGCCCAGCUUGAGGAGAAAAUGAGAGACAUAGCAAAGAUUCAGGAGAGCGAGAAAGCGCUGACUGCUGCGUUCAAGGCUUCGCUGGGAGAAAAUGAGUUUGAAAACUUUCUGAUCAAAGUCUUUAAGAAGAAAAUCAAACGUGUGAAAAAGACGGAGAUGGCAGGAGAUGAUGAGGAAGAAG